AGUGAACGCUGGCGGUAGGCCUAACACAUGCAAGUCGAACGGCAGCACAGUAAGAGCUUGCUCUUACGGGUGGCGAGUGGCGGCCGGGUGAGGAAUAAAUCGGAAUCUACUUUUUCGUGGGGGAUAACGUAGGGAAACUAACGCUAAUACCGCAUACGACCUACGGGUGAAAGCAGGGGAUCUUCGGACCUUGCGCGAUUGAAUGAGCCGAUGUCGGAUUAGCUAGUUGGCGGGGUAAAGGCCCACCAAGGCGACGAUCCGUAGCUGGUCUGAGAGGAUGAUCAGCCACACUGGAACUGAGACACGGUCCAGACUCCUACGGGAGGCAGCAGUGGGGAAUAUUGGACAAUGGGCGCAAGCCUGAUCCAGCCAUACCGCGUGGGUGAAGAAGGCCUUCGGGUUGUAAAGCCCUUUUGUUGGGAAAGAAAAGCAGCAGGUUAAUACCCCGCUGUUCUGACGGUACCCAAAGAAUAAGCACCGGCUAACUUCGUG
rnacentral:rRNA from 1 species